UACAGAGGGUGCGAGCGUUAAUCGGAGUUACUGGGCGUAAAGGGCGCGUAGGCGGUUGAUUAAGUUGGAUGUGAAAUCCCUGGGCUUAACCUAGGAAUGGCAUCUGAUACUGGUUGACUGGAGUAUUGUAGAGGGUAGUGGAAUUUCCGGUGUAGCGGUGAAAUGCGUAGAGAUCGGAAGGAACACCAGUGGCGAAGGCGGCUACCUGGACAAAUACUGACGCUGAGGCGCGAAAGCGUGGGGAGCAAACAGG
rnacentral:rRNA from 1 species